UACGUAGGGUGCGAGCGUUAAUCGGAAUUACUGGGCGUAAAGCGUGCGCAGGCGGUGAUGUAAGACAGAUGUGAAAUCCCCGGGCUCAACCUGGGAACUGCAUUUGUGACUGCAUCGCUGGAGUGCGGCAGAGGGGGAUGGAAUUCCGCGUGUAGCAGUGAAAUGCGUAGAUAUGCGGAGGAACACCGAUGGCGAAGGCAAUCCCCUGGGCCUGCACUGACGCUCAUGCACGAAGCGUGGGGAGCAACAGG
rnacentral:rRNA from 1 species